AGCGAACGCUGGCGGCAGGCUUAACACAUGCAAGUCGAGCGGGCAUAGCAAUAUGUCAGCGGCAGACGGGUGAGUAACGCGUGGGAACGUACCUUUUGGUUCGGAACAACACAGGGAAACUUGUGCUAAUACCGGAUAAGCCCUUACGGGGAAAGAUUUAUCGCCGAAAGAUCGGCCCGCGUCUGAUUAGCUAGUUGGUGAGGUAAUGGCUCGCCAAGGCGACGAUCAGUAGCUGGUCUGAGAGGAUGAUCAGCCACAUUGGGACUGAGACACGGCCCAAACCCCUACGGGAGGCAGCAGUGGGGAAUAUUGGACAAUGGGCGCAAGCCUGAUCCAGCCAUGCCGCGUGAGUGAUGAAGGCCCUAGGGUUGUAAAGCUCUUUUGUGCGGGAAGAUAAUGACGGUACCGCAAGAAUAAGCCCCGGCUAACUUCGUGCCAGCCGCCGCCGUAA
rnacentral:rRNA from 1 species